rnacentral:tRNA from 1 species
UUCCCUUUAGUUUAAAUGAACAUAACUUUUUCAAUGUUAAAGAUUAAAGGGACA